rnacentral:rRNA from 1 species
GACGAACGCUGGCGGCGUGCUUAACACAUGCAAGUCGAACGGAAAGGCCCUGCUUUUGUGGUGUGCUCGAGUGGCGAACGGGUGCGUAACACGUGAGUAACCUGCCCUUGACUUUGGGAUAACUUCAGGAAACUGGGGUUAAUACCGGAUAGGAGCUCCUGCUGCAUGGUGGGGGUUGGAAAGUUUCGGCGGUCGGGGAUGGACUCGCGGCUUAUCAGCUUGUUGGUGGGGUAGUGGCUUACCAAGGCUUUGACGGGUAGCCGGCCUGAGAGGGUGACCGGCCACAUUGGGACUGAGGUGCGGCCCAGACGCCUACGGGAGGCAGCAGUGGGGAAUAUUGCACAAUGGGCGGGAGCCUGAUGCAGCAACGCCGCGUGCGGGAUGACGGCCUUCGGGUUGUAAACCGCUUUAGCCUGUGACGAAGCGUGAGUGACGGUAAUGGGUAAAGAAGCACCGGCUAACUACGUG